rnacentral:rRNA from 1 species
UAGGGAAUCUUCGGCAAUGGGGGGAACCCUGACCGAGCAACGCCGCGUGAGUGAAGAAGGUUUUCGGAUCGUAAAGCUCUGUUGUCAAGGAAGAACGAGUGUGAGAAUGGAAAGUUCAUACUGUGACGGUACUUAACCAGAAAGGGACGGCUAACUACGUGCCAGCAGCCGCGGUAAUACGUAGGUCCCGAGCGUUGUCCGGAUUUAUUGGGCGUAAAGCGAGCGCAGGCGGUUAGAUAAGUCUGAAGUUAAAGGCAGUGGCUCAACCAUUGUAGGCUUUGGAAACUGUUGACCUUGAGUGCAGGAGGGGAGAGUGGAAUUCCAUGUGUAGCGGUGAAAUGCGUAGAUAUAUGGAGGAACACCGGUGGCGAAAGCGGCUCUCUGGUCUGUAACUGACGCUGAGGCUCGAAAGCGUGGGGAGCGAACAGG